ACUCCUACGGGAGGCAGCAGUGGGGAAUUUUGGACAAUGGGCGAAAGCCUGAUCCAGCAAUGCCGCGUGAGUGAAGAAGGCCUUCGGGUUGUAAAGCUCUUUUGUCAGGGAAGAAACGGUGAGAGCUAAUAUCUUUUGCUAAUGACGGUACCUGAAGAAUAAGCACCGGCUAACUACGUGCCAGCAGCCGCGGUAAUACGUAGGGUGCAAGCGUUAAUCGGAAUUACUGGGCGUAAAGCGUGCGCAGGCGGUUUUGUAAGUCUGAUGUGAAAUCCCCGGGCUCAACCUGGGAAUUGCAUUGGAGACUGCAAGGCUAGAAUCUGGCAGAGGGGGGUAGAAUUCCACGUGUAGCAGUGAAAUGCGUAGAUAUGUGGAGGAACACCGAUGGCGAAGGCAGCCCCCUGGGUCAAGAUUGACGCUCAUGCACGAAAGCGUGGGGAGCAAACAGGAUUAGAAACCCCUGUAGUCCCA
rnacentral:rRNA from 1 species